rnacentral:rRNA from 1 species
UACGUAGGGUGCGAGCGUUGUCCGGAUUUAUUGGGCGUAAAGAGCUCGUAGGCGGUUUGUCGCGUCUGCUGUGAAAACCUAAGGCUCAACCUUGGGCUUGCAGUGGGUACGGGCAGACUAGAGUGCGGUAGGGGUGACUGGAAUUCCUGGUGUAGCGGUGGAAUGCGCAGAUAUCAGGAGGAACACCGGUGGCGAAGGCGGGUCUCUGGGCCGAUACUGACGCUGGAGGAGCGAAAGCCGUGGGGAGCGAACAGG